GGAGAUGUGGCUCAGUGGUAGAUUACUUGCUUUGCAGGUGCGAGACCCUGGGUUCAAUCCUCAGCACCA
rnacentral:tRNA from 1 species